GCUGUCUGUGCGGUGUCUGAGGAUCAGCCAAGUAGGCUGCUUAUAGGUAGCAGUUCUACAAGAAGGUGGACCACAGGAGGUUGCUUUGCAAGACACGAGUCUGGAUCAACCACACUGUUGAAGAGAGGAGGUGCGGAAUGGGAAACCAUUGAUGAUAGUAGAGGAAAAAUGCAAUACAACAACAGCAGAACAACCUGUGGAGUGUUUGGUACAGGCCUGCCAUGUGUGAGGAAAAAAAUAAACAAAGCAAAUCAGGACAAAUAAAACUUUUCAAGAUUUAAGAUGGAACAGAAAGACACAUAUAAUGUUCUUUCAUUGGAACACACCGACAACCUCCUCCUCCCUCUGGCCUCUUAUGCUGCUGUGUGUGGGGCUUUUGCUCUUUCCUAGAAGAUGUAGCGGGGUUGACACACCCAUCCAUCACACUGAAGGACAUCCUGCUUACUUCCGAGUUUGGGAAAUUACUUUUUCAAAGUCUCUCUGGGUAUCUGGAUGUGUCUUACAGCUGUGCAGUCCGAGAAGCUCAUUUCAGAAGUUGAACACAGAGUUUUCCCUACGUGAAUCCCAGGAGCCCAUCCAAAGGAUCUUUGCAGCAUCAUUUGAAAUGCCUGCUGUCAGGCCCCUGGGGCAGUUGGCACAGUGACUGACUUAUUGCCUGCUCAUCUGUGUCAACGUACAGGUUUUUCUGAACCCUCAGACAGGCUUGUUUUCUGCAAUAACAAGCAUUGGCAGGCAUUCCCUGGAGGAGAACUGGUCCUCUGCCUCUCCAGGGGAGGUUCAGUGAUGCACUCCUCAGGCACUGACCAUUGACCUCAACAGCUGUCUUCACUGCAAGUGGUUAUUCUUUUCACCACCAGGCAAAGCCUUCAAGAAUUAAACUAUUGGGUUUGGGGAUAUCUGGAUGAGUGAAAGCAUGGAGUUCCAGAGGGAGAACACAUCUACGUCUAAGUUACAAUGAGUUAUAUGAGUUUAUAUGAGCAUAUGCACAUAAUUAAUGUGCCUAUGGAAUGCAGAUUUAGGAAUAUUCAGUUAAAUGAAACUGGAGAUUUAUUAAGUCAUCUGACCAUUAUAUUUGAAGACAAACAAACAAACAAACAAAACCCCAAAAACAACGAACAAGCAAGCAAAACAAAAACAGCAUAGUUUAGGUUUCUAAAGAGAUUUUUAUUUCCAAGUCAAUCUAGCCAAAGAUCUCAACAUCAGCUUUUGUUCUUUUCUUUUAAAUGCCUCCAAAUCAUGCUGAAAGAGUUGAACUUAUUUCAAAGAUGCUAAUUUGAGCCUCAGACAGCUGUGGUGGUUAUUAAUAUGAGCACAAUGGCUGACAAUUUGACAACAGUCUCUGGUUUCCAUUACUGCCUUCAUACUAAAUGUCCCUUUUGUGCACAGGGCAUAAAAACCACAGUCAGAUGACUGACUUGGGAGAUGAGCUUGUAGACUGAUGAGUAUCUGAGCACUUUUGUUUAAAAGGGAGAGUCAUGUAGUUUUAAUAAGGAAAAUGGAAAACCCCAUACCAGACCACACAUCUUUACAUAUUAUUAAUCUCUCCAGAGUUCAGUAAAAACUCAAGAAGAAGAACCUUAUUAUAUAAAAUUAGUGAGGGUGGGUGUGUUCUUAAUGUGUAUUUAUUUACUCUAGAUAACUUGACACAUAAUAGCAUCAUGGACUGUUGACUUAGAAGCAAACAGAUAAGCAAUUAUUUAUGAUUCAACUGAAGUAUAAUUUAGAGGUAAACAUACUCAGUUAAAUUGUUUUUUAACCUGCUUAUCUCUGUAAUUUUCUAUGAAGAGAUGCUAUAUGAAUAUAAAAUAUAUAAAAAUAAAUAAACAAAAACAACCUUAGAAACCAACUAAAAAGUUUCUAAUUACAUGCCCUUUCCUGAGUCUGUGCUGGAUUCAUUGUGUCUAGUUUGUGGUUUCUCUUUCUUUUCUUUUCUUUUCUUUUCUUUUCUUUUCUUUUCUUUUCUUUUCUUUUCUUUUCUUUUCUUUUCUUUUCUUUUCUUUUCUUUUCUUUUCUUUUCUUUUCUUUUCCUUCCUUCCUUCCUUCCUUCCUUCCUUCCUUUCUUUCUUUCUUUCUUUCUUUCUUUCUUUCUUUCUUUCUUUCUUUCUUUCUUUCUUUCUUUCUUUCUUAACAGAGUGCCACCUUGAACUUUGUUUUAUAAAAGCACAGAAGGUGAAGUCAUCCUGGGGGCAUCUUUGAAUGUAAUUUAGCUGCUGUAGUGUUUAAAUAAAAGUAAACAAUCAAAUACUGAAAUACAC